UAGACAAGAAUGAUGGAUUAUUGAAGGUU
rnacentral:piRNA from 1 species